rnacentral:rRNA from 1 species
GGGGAAUUUUCCGCAAUGGGCGAAAGCCUGACGGAGCAAUACCGCGUGAGGGAGGAAGGCUCUUGGGUCGUAAACCUCUUUUCUCAGGGAAGAAAAAAAUGACGGUACCUGAGGAAUAAGCAUCGGCUAACUCCGUGCCAGCAGCCGCGGUAAUACGGAGGAUGCAAGCGUUAUCCGGAAUGAUUGGGCGUAAAGCGUCCGCAGGUGGCGAUGUAAGUCUGCUGUUAAAGAGUCUAGCUCAACUAGAUAAGAGCAGUGGAAACUACAUAGCUAGAGUACGUUCGGGGCAGAGGGAAUUCCUGGUGUAGCGGUGAAAUGCGUAGAGAUCAGGAAGAACACCAGUGGCGAAGGCGCUCUGCUAGGCCGUAACUGACACUGAGGGACGAAAGCUAGGGGAGCGAAUGGGAUUAGAUACCCCAGUAGUCCUAGCCGUAAACGAUGGAUACUAGGCGUGGCUUGUAUCGACCCGAGCCGUGCCGUAGCUAACGCGUUAAGUAUCCCGCCUGGGGAGUACGCCGGCAACGGUGAAACUCAAAGGAAUUGACGGGGGCCCGCACAAGCGGUGGAGUAUGUGGUUUAAUUCGAUGCAACGCGAAGAACCUUACCAAGGCUUGACAUGUCGCGAAUCUUGAUGAAAGUUGAGAGUGCCUUCGGGAGCGCGAACACAGGUGGUGCAUGGCUGUCGUCAGCUCGUGUCGUGAGAUGUUGGGUUAAGUCCCGCAACGAGCGCAACCCUCGUUUUUAGUUGCCAGCAUUAAGUUGGGCACUCUAGAGAGACUGCCGGUGACAAACCGGAGGAAGGUGGGGAUGACGUCAAGUCAGCAUGCCCCUUACGCCUUGGGCUACACACGUACUACAAUGCUCCGGACAGAGGGCAGCAAGCAUGCGAAUGCAAGCAAAUCCCGUAAACCGGAGCUCAGUUCAGAUCGCAGGCUGCAACUCGCCUGCGUGAAGGAGGAAUCGCUAGUAAUUGCAGGUCAGCAUACUGCAGUGAAUUCGUUCCCGGGCCUUGUACACACCGCCCGUCACACCAUGGAAGCUGGUAGUGCCCGAAGUCAUUACUCCAACCUUUCGGGGGGGAGGAUGCCUAAGGCAGGACUGGUGACUGGGGUGAAGUCGUAACAAGGUAGCCGUACCGGAAGGUGUGGCUGGAUCACCUCCUU